CCUAGGGCUGGAAAAUUUUCAAGUCUGGGGCUAGAAAAUUUUCCCCGCCCUUCCCAUCUCCCGCCAUACCUAGCUAGGGCUUAUCGAUCUACUGCCUCUUUAGGGACCUGGAACAUAGUGUGUGGUGUUUCGGUGCUAGCUGGUCGAAGUUUUUUGUGGCAUUCGUUGUUCCUACUGCUUUGAGAUAAGAAAAAUGUCUGCUAGAGGUCGAGGACGAGGAGGUCGUGGAAUGACACCUCAUAGAGUGACUGCUAGAGCAGUGCUUACUCCUGCCGUGUCAUCCACGCCAAGUAAUGAUCUAGCCCAAAACUCAUCUCCUGUUCCACAUAUAUCAGAGUCUGUGCAACCAAAUGUAUCAUUGACACCUACAGAUGCAUCUGUAACAAAGAAUGUAUGUGGGAAAAUUGAAGGUUUAGCGCUAGCCCAGAUUCGAGGGUGUGGAGAGAAGGUGAAAUUGGGCUUUUCUAGAACACUUGGACAACCAACCAGUGAAAACGAUGAUGACUUGACUAGGUUCACCACAGAGAUAGGUGUUAUUGUUCGGCAAUUUGCUCCUUUAUAGGCAAAAAGUUGGGAGAAGUUGCCCCGAGAUGCAAUGGAUAUCUGUAUUGCACAUUCGAGUAAGUAUUAGUAACAUGGCCUUGUUAUUUGUCGGAGUAGUAUGUUAUAACAUUUGUUGGCCCUUUCAUAUGAAAUUGAGAAUAAUUGGAUACUAGUUAAGAGAGUAUGUAAUAAUAUUCUGAUGCAGUUUUGAGUCUAAGUUGACAUCUAAGUCGCUAUCUUCAUGUAUGCAAUUGACUGGAUGAAUUUGUGAGAUAUGUAGGAAAAUUUUGAUCUUCCUAAAGCAACUUAUGUAGACGAAGCUAUAUUGCGAGCUAUGGGUAAGCGGUAUUGCGACAUGCGAUCCCGUCUCAAGAAGAAAUUUGAGAAUGGAGACGUCAAUUGCCCUACAGGUAUAGAGGAGGUAGAUUGGGCAUAUUUGUCUUACUUAUGGAAAGACUCCGAUUAUGAGAUUGCUCAACAAUCGAUGGUGAUCAUUUGAUGGAUGAAGAUACCAUAUAGUAGGAGAUAUGAGAUGAAUGAUGUUUUGGAAGACAAAGCUGCCUUUUGUCUUAUUUUUAGGUACUUCUAUAUGGAAGAAUGAUGUCUUUAGUUUUUGGAAGAAGGAUUGUGGUUCUUGCCUUUGAUACUUGAUGUUAUGUUCGGGGGGUUUUGGCUUUUGUUUUGGGUAUUGAAGAAGACUAAGGUUAAGAUACCAUAGUUUGACUUAUGUGAACUGGUUUUAAGUUAAUGUUAUGCUAUUGCCUGAGUUUUGAUGAAUAAUGCCUUUGAAAUCAUGAC